rnacentral:rRNA from 1 species
UACGUAGGCAGCGAGCGUUGUUCGGAGUUACUGGGCGUAAAGAGUGCGUAGGCGGUGCCCUAAGUCUGGUGUGAAAUCUCCCGGCUCAACCGGGAGGGUGCGCCGGAAACUGGGGUGCUCGAGUGUGGGAGAGGCAGGCGGAAUUCCCGGUGUAGCGGUGAAAUGCGUAGAGAUCGUAAGGAAGACCAGUGGCGAAGGCGGGUCUCUGGACAGUUCCUGACACUGAGGCACGAAGGCCAGGGGAGCAAACGGG